UACGGAGGGUGCAAGCGUUAUCCGGAUUCACUGGGUUUAAAGGGUGCGUAGGUGGGCAGGUAAGUCAGUGGUGAAAUCUCUGGGCUUAACCCGGAAACUGCCGUUGAUACUAUGUGUCUUGAAUAUAGUGGAGAUGAGCGGAAUAUGUCAUGUAGCGGUGAAAUGCUUAGAUAUGACAUAGAACAUCGAUUGCGAAGGCAGCUCGCUACACUAUGAUUGACGCUGAGGCACGAAAGCGUGGGGAUCAAACAGG
rnacentral:rRNA from 1 species